UAGGGAAUCUUCGGCAAUGGACGAAAGUCUGACCGAGCAACGCCGCGUGAGUGAAGAAGGUUUUCGGAUCGUAAAACUCUGUUGUUAGAGAAGAACAAGGACGUUAGUAACUGAACGUCCCCUGACGGUAUCUAACCAGAAAGCCACGGCUAACUACGUGCCAGCAGCCGCGGUAAUACGUAGGUGGCAAGCGUUGUCCGGAUUUAUUGGGCGUAAAGCGAGCGCAGGCGGUUUCUUAAGUCUGAUGUGAAAGCCCCCGGCUCAACCGGGGAGGGUCAUUGGAAACUGGGAGACUUGAGUGCAGAAGAGGAGGGUGGAAUUCCAUGUGUAGCGGUGAAAUGCGUAGAUAUAUGGAGGAACACCAGUGGCGAAGGCGGCUCUCUGGGCUGUAACUGACGAUGAGGGUCGAAAGCGUGGGGAGCAAACAGG
rnacentral:rRNA from 1 species